ensembl:lncRNA
AUGUUUAAUGGCAGAGCAGACAUGGAAAGUAUUAACUUUCUAAGCUAUAGCAAGUGUUAUUCCAUUUUGCGCUCGCGCACCUCUGCUCUAGUUUUCAACCUUUCUGAAGAGCGGAUAGACAUACACAUACACAGACUCAUGGCCAAGCUAGCACUGAACAGCCCUGAAUUAAAUUCUAUCGAACAGGGGGUCAAGAAUCGGUUCAAAUGGAGCUGGUUGCUGGAGACUGUCCAAGUUGAGGGAAACACUUUCUCACUCAAUUGCUUUAGCAAAAUUAGAGAACCAGGCAAAGCUAUUUGCAACAUUUGCAACCACCCUAUUAACUAUGGCACAAGUGGGAAGAUUGCACUCCGGAAACAUAUGAUGCAUCCAAAACAUGUGAAACUGUGGAAGAUCCAACAGCAGAACAUGCACAUUGAGAUCGCACGAGCUGAUAACAUCAUUGUUGCGGCUCUGCACAACAACUCGGCGCAACCCAGAUCAAUUCCUCCUCUAUGCAACCGUGUUGCUCAGGAUCAAGCACUCAUUCUUGGAUUCAUUGCUGAAAAUUCUCUUCCCCUGUCAGUCACGUCUGGGAUUAUUAAAUUGGCUCAAGAGUUGGCCAAAGAUCCAAAAGCACUUGCUGAACUGUCAAUGGACAGGACAUCUGCCUCAUACAAGCUCACCCAUGGUGUGAAGAAGACUAUCCUAGAUGAAGUACUUGAGGAAAUCAGAAAUGUCCCCUUCUCCCUCAACAUAGAUGAGGCCACAAGCAAGACAAACAAAAGAGUAUUAGGUGUGCUUGUCAGCUACUGGUCCGAGAAACAUGAGAGGAUGGUUGUCCAACACCUUGCAGCUUUGGAGCUCAUAUCUGUAACGGCAGAAUCUCUCUUCAGUGCACUGGAUGGGCUUUUUGAAAGGAUGAAUCUCCCUUGGGAUAAUCUGGUGUCAAUUCUCAUGGACUCCUGUGCUGUUAUGAGGGGCUCUAAAAAUGGCUUGGAAAAGAAGAUCAGAGACCGCCGUGCCCCUCAUCUCCUUGACAUCGAUGGUGACUCAUGUCACCACCUUCAUAAUGCCAGCAAGAAAUUGUGCUGUCCUUUUGAGCGUUGGGUUGAGUCUUUGCUGUCAGACCUGCACACAGACCACAAAUGGUCAGCUGACAUGAAAGAUGGCCUCAGAGAAAUUUGCAGCAUAUUUGGAAUCCAUUUCUCGCAGCCAGAGUGCUAUAUUCCACACCGGUGGCUCUCAGUCUUGGAUGUCAGUCUGGAAACACUGCGAAUGUGGGAUGCACUGGUCAUGUUUUACUAUGCCUUCCUGAGCAAUGAAGAUAAGUGUACAUACAAGGACAUUGUCAGUGCUAUUCUACAGAAGCGUGAAAUACAGGGAACAGGCAGGGCCCGGAUCAAGGAGUUGUGGAAGGAGUUGGGGAACAGGUCCAAGAACUUCACAAACGAGGGGAAGAUGAGGAAGGUCAGGAUUUGCAAGAAGGUGCUAUUUGAGGACAAGAAAACCCUUCUUGAGCUCCACUUCUAUUCAGCAGUCCUUCCCAUGCUGAAACAUUACGUCCUGCUUUUUCAGUCCAAGGACCCAAAGGUUCAUAAACUCCAUGAUGAGCAGGAGAAACUUGUCAGGGAGUUUUUAUCUUGCUUCAUCAAGCCAGAAAAAUUAAUUAACAGCAAAGGAAGGAAUCUGUCUGGGCCAAAGAUGAAGUUGCUUGACCUGACAUCGACAGAGGCCCAUCUCGCAGCACCUUUUGUUGGCUCUGAGGCCUCAUCCCUCCCUUCCCUCCCAACUAGGGAGGGAACACCCUGUGGUGAAGGCUUUCAAAACUAAGGUAUGGUAUGGCUUUAUUUAGGUAAAACAUUGAAACAUGUCAUCGUAGGAUGAGAAUAGCCUGUGAAAGCGAAUUAAACACUUAUUUCCAACAUGGUCCUCAAUAUUAGACACGACAUAAUGACAUCACACCAUAACUAUACACAUUUAAUUCAUUUAAAAGAAAAACACUUCCUAAGCAAUUUAUCUUGGAGCAGGCUCCACAUAUACAGUAUGUCUUUACUUAUUUCUUAAACUGUACUCUAUUUAUAAAAGGUAAUCCAAGCCUACACCAGCUGUGCAGGUGACCUUCAAACAAAGCUACCUCUUGACAGUCCAACCCUAAGGACUCUGUCAUGCUUGGACCCAGAUGCACGGGGAAGCCAUCACAUUCUUCCUCAUCUCCAGAAGUUGCCGAACAUGUUUCCAGAUGUGAAGCUUAAUGAACUGGAGAGAGCUGGAUUUCAACAUGAAAUACACAGGUGUAUAUAAUUGUUGGAAUGCCAUUUACACAGAUUCUUAAUAAGUCAAAUUUUGAUUAUUUUGCUAGUAAUUGUAUAAUGUAGCCUGUUGUUUGUAAGGAAUUAUUUUAUUGUCAAAUAAUGAGCUUAAACUGUUGUUUCCCAUCCUAGAUAUGCAAGUGACAUGACACUACCUCAGAUGACAGAGGAGGCAAGAGUUGAUUUAUGGUGGAAUGUUGUGAGAAAGACUCAGAGGUACCCAGCGCUCUGCAAGCUUGCACUGUCUGCACUAUGCCCAUUUCAUGGUCCACAGGUGGAAUCAGCAUUCAGUGUAAUGUCCAACAUCCUGCAAGCCAAAGCUGCAAACCUAAGUGUUGAGACAUAUGAGUCCUAUCAAGUGGUCAAAUACAACCUGAAGGCCAUGCAGGUGUUGGCCAUUCAGCACUACUCCCGGAAGACAAAGGAGAGUCCUGUUAAUGUACAGCUGUGCAGAAAUGUAAAACGAUCGAGCCAAAGGUACAGAGCUCUGCUCAGAGAUAAAGAAGAACUGAACAAAAGGCCUUAUCACUCUGAGAAGCCAACGGCCGGCAAGAAAAUGGCAAAAGAUGCCAUCGUGGCAGCAGCUGUGAGUGCCAGGCGCAAAUUCCAAAAGAAACGUGUAGAGGCUCUAAAAAAGCUUGCUACAAAGGCUAAAGAGUCGUACAAAAAUUGAGGCCUUCUUUUGACAUGAAAGUGUGCAUGUUGCACAUUUAGCUGUUAAAGUUGGGUAAAAAUGCAUCCACCAAAUAAUUUGUUAUUUUUCAUACUGUACAAAAAAAGUUGCACGUUGCACAUCUAGCUAUAAAAUAAAAUGUAUUUUUUUGUUCA